GAAAUGCGAUAAGUAGUGUGAAUUGCAGAAUUUAGCGAAUCAUCGAAUCUUUGAACGCACAUUGCGCCCCUUGGUAUUCCAUGGGGCAUGCCUGUUCGAGCGUCAUUUCAACCCUCAAGCACUGCUUGGUGUUGGGCGUUUGUCCCGCCUACGCGCGUGGACUCGCCUCAAAGUCAUUGGCGGCUGUCCCCCUUCGGCUCGUAAGCGCAGCACAGUCGGCGCCCGGAGCUCUGGUGGGAUGGCGUCCAGCAAGCUAUAUUUUCAGGCUUGACCUCGGAUCAGGUAGGGAUACCCGCUGAACUUAAGC
rnacentral:misc_RNA from 1 species